UUGUUGUUUUAAUUUAGGCUUUAAUGUUAUUUUAUACUUAGUAGUUAAAAAAUUUUAUUUAAAUUAAGAACUGUAAAGGUUUGUUGAAAUAGUGAAAAGUAAUCAUAGGCUAUCUAAAUUAUGUACCUUUUGUAUUAGUGAGUCUGGAAUUUUUUAAUUAUUUGUUUUCUCGAACAAGAGAGGGCUAAUUUAAAUUUAAUUUUAUGUGUAAUAAUAGUUUUAAAUUUAAGUUAGAAGUGAUAAAUUAUUCGAUCUCUUAUAUAUCUGGUUGGGGGGUUAGAAUUUAGUUCUACCACGUUGGGUUUAUUUCUAUUUUUACUAACUAAAUUUAGCGUGGGUAAUAAAGAGGGGGUUAGCUUUCUUUUUUAAGAGUGUUAAAAAUUUAAUUUUAGUGAUUAUUUAUAGUAGGCUUAGAAACAGCUUUCUUUGUAGUAAGUUUUUUUUUAUAACGCAAUAUUUGAUAUUUAUUUAAAUUUUAAUUUUAUACUCCUUUUAGUAAAAAUAAUUUUUAUUAAACAAUAAUCGGACUAUUAGUAGUUUAGUUUUAAUGUAUUAUUAAUUACCAGCUUGUAUUUUAUGAAUUUGACAAUAUAUGCUUCGACUGUUUAUCAAAAACAUUUCUUUUGGUUUAUUUAAAAAGUAAGGCCUGCCCACUGUAAAUAUGAAGGGCCGCGGUAUUUUGACCGUGCAAAGGUAGCAUAAUCAUUAGUUCCUUAAUUAGGGAAUAGUAUGAAUGGCUCAACGUAGCAUGUUUUUAUUAAUUACAUAUAAUGAAUUUAAGUUUUAAGUGAAAACGCUUAAAUUAGCCCAUAGACGAUAAGACCCUAUAGAGCUUUAUUUUUGGGUUAGUCGGGGGGUUAGAAAUAUUCCUGGCUUAAAACAAAAAUUUUGUUGGGGCAACAUAAGAAUAAAUAAAUCUUCUUAAUAAUUUUUUUUAUAAAAUUUAAGAUCUUGAAGUUUAAAGUAUAAAAAAAGUUACCUUAGGGAUAACAGCGUAAUUAAAAUUGAGAGCCCGUAUCGACAUUUUAGUUUGCGACCUCGAUGUUGAAUUAAGAAAUCUUAAUGGGGCAGCUUUCGUUUAAGAUAGUCUGUUCGACUAUUAAAUUCUUACAUGAUUUGAGUUCAAAUCGGCGCGAGCCAGGUUGGUUUCUAUCUUUGGUGUUUAAUUUUUUUUUUUAGUACGAAAGGACCGAAUUAAUUUAAUAUUUAUUUAUU
rnacentral:rRNA from 1 species